rnacentral:misc_RNA from 1 species
GUGAGUCAUCGAAUCUUUGAACGCACAUUGCGCCCCUUGGUAUUCCGAGGGGCAUGCCUGUUCGAGCGUCAUUUAAACCCUCAAGCCCAGCUUGGUACUGGGAGCGGUCCUCCGGGACCCUCCCGCAACUCGUUAGGCGGGACCGUCCGGCUUCAAGCGUAGCAGAAAAACCUCGCUUCGGAGACCGGGUGGCCUCGCCGGGAACCAGCCUGAAGUUUGACCUCGGAUCAGGUAGGGAUACCCGCUGAACUUAAGCAUAUCAAUAAGCGGAGGA